rnacentral:tRNA from 1 species
GUGGGAGUAGCUUAAUGGUAGAGUGCUGGCCUAGCGUGUGCAAAGGCCCUGGGUUCUGUUCCCAGCACCCACA